GUGGCAGCCGCCGCGGUAAUACGGGGGGGACAAGCGUUGUUCGGAUUCACUGGGCGUAAAGGGCGCGUAGGCAGGCUUUCAAGUCGGAUGUGAAACCUGUCGGCUUAACCGACAGCCUGCAUCCGAUACUGUUGGUCUUGAGUACGGAAGAGGAGAGCGGAAUUCCAGGUGUAGCGGUGAAAUGCGUAGAUAUCUGGAAGAACACCAGUAGCGAAGGCGGCUCUCUGGCUCGAUACUGACGCUGAGGUGCGAAAGUGUGGGGAGCAAACAGGAUUAGAUACCCUGGUAGUCCACACCGUAA
rnacentral:rRNA from 1 species